ACUACUACUAUGUCGGAACUCCCCUCCCCUUCUUCAAGAUCGUAUAAGGAAGCUCCCUUUGUCUUGCUCUACUAUUUGUUACAUUGACCUCUACAGCCCUUUAAGAUAAUCUUUUAAUUUGUUACCUCUCAGGACCAUAGUAUACCAUACAAGACAUUUCUUUAACUCCUCGUUACGACACAUAGAAGAAAUGAAACAGAGAGAAGAAUACGGCAGUCAUCUAUGGAUUCUCUCAAAAGACUAACAGAAGGAACAACCCAGUUUGAUCUUUCUGAACUAUACAUUUUAUACUGGUAUAGUAUUGUUAUCUAUUUUUACCUAUUGUUACCUUUUUAUCCGUGCUAGUUAAUCAGGUUUUUGGGUACUGGGCCAUCCUGGUUAGCCUGCUAUGGGCCGUUCCCCUGGCUUAUGCAGGUGAAUUUAUAAUAAUAUUGUUUUCAAUUGUCUAUUCCAGUUUCCUCCAUUCAUCUAAAUCAAUGCAGCUAGUAAUAAGUAAUUUCUAUCCAGGUUCAACCAGACACGAAUACAUGUUGCAGUUUUGUUGAUAAGAUUCCUCCUAAACUAGAUGACCAUUCCUAAGACCAUCAUGCGUGUUAGUUUCGUUCUAGAGGUAAAUUACUUUUCUAUUAAUCUCGGCAUGUUAGAUCUAGGAAUAAUAAGAGUACUACUACUACUAUGUCGGAACUCCCCUCCCCUUCUUCAAGAUCGUAUAAGUAAGCUCCCUUUGUCUUGCUCUACUAUUUGUUACAUUGACCUCUACAGCCCUUUAAGAUAAUCUUUUAAUUUGUUACCUGUCAGGACCAUAGUAUACCAUACAAGACAUUUCUUUAACUCCUCGUUACAGUUAGGUUACAACCACACAUAGAAGAAAGGAAACAGAGAGAAGAAUACGGCAGUCAUCUAUGGACUCUUUCAAAAGACUAACAGAACGAACAUCCCGGUUUGAUCUUUCUAAACUAUACAUUUUAUACUGGUAUAGUAUUGUUAUCUAUUUUUACCUAUUGUUACCUUUUUAUCCGUGCUAGUUAAUUAGGUUUUUGGGUACUGGGCCAUCCUGGUUAGCCUGCUAUGGGCCGUUCCCCUGGCUUAUGCAGGUGAAUUUAUAAUAAUAUUGUUUUCAAUUGUCUAUUCCAGUUUCCUUCAUUCAUCUAAAUCAAUGCAGCUAGUAAUAAGUAAUUUCUAUCCAGGUUCAACCGGACACGAAUACAUGUUGCAGUUUUGUUGAUAAGAUUCCUCCUAAACUAGAUGACCAUUCCUAAGACCAUCAUGCGUGUUAGGUUCGUUCUAGAGGUAGAUUACUUUUCUAUUAAUCUCGGCAUGUUAGAUCUAGGAAUAAUAAGAGUACUACUACUACUAUGUCGGAACUCCCCUCCCCUUCUUCAAGAUCGUAUAAGUAAGCUCCCUUUGUCUUGCUCUACUAUUUGUUACAUUGACCUCUACAGCCCUUUAAGAUAAUCUUUUAAUUUGUUACCUCUCAGGACCAUAGUAUACCAUACAAGACAUUUCUUUAACUCCUCGUUACGACACAUAGAAGAAAUGAAACAGAGAGAAGAAUACGGCAGUCAUCUAUGGAUUCUCUCAAAAGACUAACAGAAGGAACAACCCAGUUUGAUCUUUCUGAACUAUACAUUUUAUACUGGUUCAACCGGACACGAAUACAUGUUGCAGUUUUGAUGAUAAGAUUCCUCCUAAACUAGAUGACCAUUCCUAAAACCAUCAUGCGUGUUAGGUUCGUUCUAGAGGUAGAUUACUUUUUCUAUUAAUCUCAGCAUGUUAGAUCUAGGAAUAAUAAGAGUACUACUACUACUAUGUCGGAACUCCCCUCCCCUUCUUCAGAGCGUGUAAGGAAGCUCCCUUUGUCUUGCUCUACUAUUUGUUACAUUGACCUCUACCGCCCUUUAAGAUAAUCUUUUAACGUGUUACCUCUCAGGACCAUAGUAUACCAUACAAGACAUUUCUUUAACUCCUCGUUACAGUUAGGUUACAACCACACAUAGAAGAAAGGAAACAGAGAGAAGAAUACGGCAGUCAUCUAUGGACUCUUUCAAAAGACUAACAGAACGAACAUCCCGGUUUGAUCUUUCUAAACUAUACAUUUUAUACUGGUAUAGUAUUGUUAUCUAUUUUUACCUAUUGUUACCUUUUUAUCCGUGCUAGUUAAUUAGGUUUUUGGGUACUGGGCCAUCCUGGUUAGCCUGCUAUGGGCCGUUCCCCUGGCUUAUGCAGGUGAAUUUAUAAUAAUAUUGUUUUCAAUUGUCUAUUCCAGUUUCCUUCAUUCAUCUAAAUCAAUGCAGCUAGUAAUAAGUAAUUUCUAUCCAGGUUCAACCAGACACGAAUACAUGUUGCAGUUUUGUUGAUAAGAUUCCUCCUAAACUAGAUGACCAUUCCUAAGACCAUCAUGCGUGUUAGUUAGGUUAUAACGACACAUAGAAGAAAGGAAACAGAGAGAAGAAUACGGCAGUCAUCUAUGGAUUCUCUCAAAAGACUAACAGAAGGAACAACCCAGUUUGAUCUUUCUAGACUAUGCAUCUUAAAUACUGGUGUAACAGUAGGAGGAUCUAGGAACACGUUAAAUCAUAUUAUAACACUGAUGGAGAGUAACUGAAGACCCCGUGUCUAACGAAGUGUGAAUUAACACACUGCCUUGGUACCCUCUAGUCGGCUGUGUUUUCGGGCUGCCUGGCGUUCAAUUCCUGGAGUUGGUCACCCCCAGGACUGGAAAUACGUCACCAGGCAAGUGAAACAGGGUGGUAAGGGGACGACAGUCCACACCUAGCUAGUAUCUUAUCUUUUUGAACCCCACAAAGUGUGGAAAAUUACCCAUGUUUUAUGGAAAUCAUAUAAUUAGGAAGAUAAGAUAUACUUUAAGUGAACUGCAAGCAAGCGAAAAAAAAGUUCAUAGUUGUGACAGCUAAGUCCUCUAUUGGCCAGACCGUCGGUGGCACCCAGGAGUGCCAAUCCCCUGGUCAUCCAUCGGUACAGACUGGGUCCCUUGCCGACCAGACUUCCUCCACCAUUCGUGACGGCCAACCUGUUAAAGAUCGAGACACUCCAUUCCGCCUACACCGUAGCUUAGAGAUAGACUUUGAAAGGUGAUUGCCUUAAGACCUUAUCAUAGACUUUUGAUACUAAGAUAUUUAAUUAGUGUAGUAUAAAAACUUACUUCCAUUGUUAUAUAAAAAUUACUUACAUUGUUAUGCUGAAAUGGAAUAGUCUACCAGUAUGUAUCCGGCAGUCAGAGCGGAUUUCUACUUUUAAGACCAAACUGAUCAAGUACCUCUGGGCUGCCGAUACAGUCUGGCCUGAUUAGCUCAUCAGUCUUAUGAGUCUCAGAAAUGUGUUUUUGUUGGUUACAAUUCUGUCCGUCCAAUAUCCUAUCCGCUUGUCUUUUUCUUUUUUCUUCUAUUAGUUGUGACGGAAUUGUAAUGAAUGACAUGCUUAUAAUUAUUCAUGAUAUGUUUGAUUUCUUGUUAUUGUUUGUCAUUCAAAUUUGGUAGACGGCCCCAACGUUAAUGUGGCUCUUGCUAUGUGUUGGUUCAGCCGAAUUAAUUAUUAUGUAAUCAAGUUUUUUUUCUCUUUUAGUUAGUUUUCAUCCGGCCAAACAUUAAGCAACUUAUAUUGCAGUACCAUUUAUCAAUAAGUAUAUCAAAAUAUGUCAUUGUAAUUUUGCAUGGCUGAAAUGUAACGCUUGAUUUAUAUAUAUAAUAAUUAAUUGAAUUUUCAAAUUUUAAAAAAAAAUCUUUAAAGAAGGUUUGUGUUAAUUAAAUAUAUAACUAUUAGUCGAUUUAUAUUCUUGCUCUA